UACGUAGGUGACAAGCGUUGUCCGGAUUUACUGGGCGUAAAGAGCGCGCAGGCGGUUAUUCAAGUCGAAUGUGAAAGCCCCCGGCUUAACUGGGGAGGGUCAUUCGAUACUGUUUAACUUGAAGGCAGGAGAGGGUAGUGGAAUUCCUGGUGUAGCGGUGAAAUGCGCAGAUAUCAGGAGGAACACCUAUUGCGAAGGCAGCUCGCUGGGACGUUACUGACGCUGAGACGCGAAAGCGUGGGGAGCAAACAGG
rnacentral:rRNA from 1 species